UACGUAGGUGGCAAGCGUUGUCCGGAUUUACUGGGCGUAAAGAGCGCGCAGGCGGUCGUUCAAGUCGAGUGUGAAAGCCCCCGGCUCAACUGGGGAGGGUCACGCGAUACUGAUCGACUCGAAGGCAGGAGAGGGAAGUGGAAUUCCCGGUGUAGUGGUGAAAUGCGUAGAUAUCGGGAGGAACACCAGUGGCGAAGGCGACUACCUGGCCUGUUCUUGACGCUGAGGCGCGAAAGCUAGGGGAGCAAACGGG
rnacentral:rRNA from 1 species